rnacentral:lncRNA from 1 species
AUUUGAAUAGUUUAUAAUUUUUUUUUUUCAAAACAAACUCUCUCUCUCUCUAACCCAAGCGAAACAAAAUCACUCUCUCAGGCUCUCUAACCCUCGAUGAAGACUCCUCCAUCUCGCCGGGAAGACGAUGGCAUCACAAUGUCACUAUCUCUCUCUCUCUCUCUUUGUAACCCUCGAUUUAAUGAAGAGCUCCUUCAAGUCGUCGGUUAAAAUCUUGAACGAAUUAGAACGAUUCAUUCAACGGGGAAGACGAUGGCAUCACAAAAGUCACUCUCUCUCUCUCUAACCCUCAAUUCAGUCUUCGUACCUCGAACGAAGAAAUCUAGGAAAACGGGGAAGACGAAGGCAACCUUGAGGUUAAGAUCUUCAAAUCUGAUAUCCAUUGUAUAUUUUAUUUUAAUAUUACUACAGUAUAUGUGUCUGCAAUCUAGAUCUCCACAAAUAUAAAAGAACCGUGGUGUAUUUGUGAGGUGCAAUAUCGAUCUGCUUCAAAUUUGACAUGUGCAUUGUAGGCUGGAGAUUUAAUGUUAGCCGAGAUGUAUUUUGUGAACCUAGACCCAACGUCUUAAUCGUCCGUCAGUCCCCCAUUUUUGCAAUGAACAGAAUUUGAAUGAUUUCGUCAAUUUGUAAAUACGUUUUGUUUUCAAAUUUUGUAUGAUUAGGUGUGAUAUUCAUACGAGAAAACGUGAGAUGAUGCUAAAUUUUUUGUUUCAAAUUUUGCUAUGAAUUUUUAACUUUUUUAUAUGCACAGAAGAUAUUUAGAUAAGAUGAUGCUGAAAUGAUUGCCCACUAAGAUAGCUUAGGAUUUAAACGUUUAAGGGGUUAUUAAAAAAUCUAGCCCUCUAUUGGUGUGGAUAUAUGCAAUGAUUUUUCAUAUAUGUACAAUUUGAAGGUUCUUAAGCAGUAAUAUUUUUGUGAAUGAUUUAGGAUUGAUCAUGGCCAAGAAGAACAGAGAAAUUUGUCAUUCUUGCAGAGGGGCCAUGAUGCUCGAAUGCCUCAAAAAGAGAUGUUCAAACUGUGGAGAGGGGUUCGGUAGAUGGUUGGAGGUACAAAAAAAAAAAAAAAAAAUCCAACAAUCAAGGGAAGUUGUUCCAAUCUUGUACCCCACGACUUUAUGUUUUUCAAGUUUUGCAACGUUUUGCCCGAUGAGGAGUAUCCAUUGCAAGGUGAAUCAAGUGGUGCUACUAAAGGAUGUGAACCCGUCCACAAAUUGUCAUGUAUGUUGAAAGUGUGUGCAAAAAUAACCUAGGAAAGGGACUUGGAGAUUUCAUUGAACAUAACCAUGAGCAAGGGAAAACGAGUUUCAGAAGAUUUAAUAUGAAUUAUGUGUAUUUAGAUGAUUUUAGCGUUUUGGUUUUAUCUUUUUAUAAUGGUAUCACUUUGUGAUUGUAUCCUAAUGAUGCAGUCCCA